rnacentral:rRNA from 1 species
UACGUAGGGGGCAAGCGUUGUCCGGAUUUAUUGGGCGUAAAGAGCGUAUAGGCGGCCAGGUAGGUCUGCUGUGAAAACUCGAGGCUCAACCUCGAGAUGUCGGCGGAAACCAUCUGGCUAGAGUCCGGAAGAGGAGAAUGGAAUUCCCGGUGUAGCGGUGAAAUGCGCAGAUAUCGGGAAGAACACCCGUGGCGAAGGCGGUUCUCUGGGACGGUACUGACGCUGAGACGCGAAAGCGUGGGGAGCGAACAGG